UUUUUCAACAUUGAUUUGACAAACAAACAAAAAAUACAAAAACGUUUUUAAAAGGAAAAUUUGCAAGUUAUUCGUGUCAAACUCCCCAAACUGUACUCAAGGGGGACUUAAUUCAAGCAACUGGGGUUGAAUUUUCAGCUGCUAGCAGUGGUUAAUAAACCGAAUUGUGUGACUCAGACGUUUCCUCCCCUUGCUCGCAUUUGUGGCCCUGGACAUGGACAUGGCAUGUUUGCAUUUCGAAAUGGAUAAACAAUACAAACCCACUGCAUCUGACACUGAAGCGUUGACUCGUGGAAGUCAGCGGAGAAAAUAGGAUUCAUUUCGGACAUUUCCGACCAAAUCGCUGUUUACGGCUGUCCUGCUAAAGCCGAGUGGGCUUAUAGGGAAAAUGCUUCCACUUCUGUAAGAGAGGAACGGAAUCUGUAAGGAUUGAAGAGGAAGACUGAUACACAUAGACGAUUCAGGAAGGCACCGUAAAUAUUUUGUUAUACAUUAAUUUAUAUAGAAAUCUAUGGGUUUGCUCAAUUUAUCGGUGUUUUGUUUUAUUUGUUGUUUGACGUUGUGUAUGGGCUUUAAUUUGAAUAUUUAUUUUAUUUACAGUUUUUAUUUAAGACUCGUUCCCCUCGUUCAAGUCAUAUAUAGUAACAGUUGCAAUAAACAGCUUUCAACUUAUUGCUUACAUGUCUCAAUAUAAUUUACAAGAAAAACUUACUUAACUCUAAUUUCUGUUGUUCUGCUUUUGUCUCUGUGCUUCACGCAUUUAAUUUACGCAUAUUUACUGUUUGUUUGCCUUUUUAUUUUCUGAUGCUUCGUUAAUUCGUAUGUGUAUUUUACUAGUGAGAAUAUUGGGUGGUUAAUUGAGAGUAUAUAUAAUCACUAUAUAUAUAUAUAUCUAUCUGACUUCUGUGUACCAGCUUCAACAUGUUUUUAAUUUUUAAUUUAUGUACGUUCGUUAUUCGGCUUUUAACUAUGCGCUUGCGUUAUGUUUUUGUUGUAUAAAUAAAAUAGAAUAUUUUUGCUUUUGCUUCGCUUCGAAUAAUACAUGCCAUAUACAUAUACAAAAUAUGGAUUAUGAUUCUCAUAACUUAUGGUUCGACGUUAACCACGUGAGGCCCUCCGAUAGGCCAUCGCCGGUUGUGGCACAUGAUGGUUGGACAUACCAAUUGCGAUCUCUUAUUCUAGUUAAGCCUAGUUUUUCCUGGAUUUCAUGGGGUUUCAUUGCUGCAAGACACA